GGAAGUUAUUAGACUUCUUCUGAAGAUUUUACGGGAUGUCUACGACUUCUGCCAAACGAAAUCUCUGGAACAAAUACAGAGCAUCAAGCAGGCCAUGUUAAUCAAAGACACUAGGAGUGGAAGAGAGAUACCAUCUCUGAGACUGAAAAAGUAUUUGGACUGUCGUAAAGACGUAGGUGAGGAAUCAGGGAAGGCUGUGCUCGAG